AUGCAACUAACCAUUGCCAGCAGAGCUAUCAGCUUGGUUGGUGUGAGCUGAUGGGUUGACCGUGCUCUUGGGUCAAGUCACUCUUAUCAAGCACUUCAGUGCUUGCCUUUGUCUCCUUGAUUUGAGGGUCUGUACAAUUAGCUGAAUUCUGCCACACCUUAUGAGAAACUUCAUUGUUUCUUUUUUCAUUUCGUCUUUUAUCUUUCUUUUCUUUCUUGUCCUUCUUCUCUUUCUUUCUUUCAGAUUUCGUCUUAUCGGUUUUCUUCUGGAGCUUUAAUUAAAGCACCAGAGCAGUAUAUUUAGAUCCAACAAUAACAUACAUGGGACUUAACAACAUGACCAUAAUUUCGCAUUUCAGGUUCAGAUACAUCAAAUUCACAAUAUUACAGCAAUAAGCAAACAAAUAGCUCCUAACAAGCAACAACACUUGUAACAUAAAUUACAUA
rnacentral:lncRNA from 1 species